rnacentral:rRNA from 1 species
AAUUGGUAGAGGAGCAUUCUUAACGGGGCGAAGCUGUACCGGAAGGAGCAGUGGACUGUUAAGAAGAGAGAAUGCCGGAAUGAGUAGCGAGAGGAAGGUGAGAAUCCUUCCGGCCGAAUAUCUAAGGUUUCCAGAGUAAAGCUGAUCUGCUCUGGGUAAGUCGGGGCCUAAGGCGAGGUCGAAAGACGUAGUCGAUGGAUAACAGGUAAAGAUUCCUGUACUGUAUCAUAACAGAACUGUGGGGACGCAGACAGAGAGCAUAAGCCGGGAAUGGAAAGACCGGUACAAGCGAGGUAGGAGUGCAUCAGGCAAAUCCGGUGCACAAUCUGAAGACGUGAUGUGGGGCGUAAAGCCGGAAGUAUGUGAGCUGGCUGCCAAGAAAAGCCGCUAUUGUUUAUGAUAUACCCGUACCGUAAACCGACACAGGUGGAUGAGGAGAGAAUCCUAAGGCCGACGGGAGAAGCAUUGUUAAGGAACUCGGCAAAAUGACUCCGUAACUUCGGGAGAAGGAGUGCCAUGUAAAAGUGGCCGCAGAGAAUUGGCCCAAGCAACUGUUUAGCAAAAACACAGGUCUAUGCAAAACCGAAAGGUGAGGUAUAUGGGCUGACGCCUGCCCGGUGCUGGAAGGUUAAGGGGAGAGGUUAGCCGUAAGGCGAAGCUUUGAACUUAAGCCCCAGUAAACGGCGGCCGUAACUAUAACGGUCCUAAGGUAGCGAAAUUCCUUGUCGGGUAAGUUCCGACCCGCACGAAAGGCGUAAUGAUUUGGGCACUGUCUCAACAAUGCACCCGGUGAAAUUGAAAUACCAGUGAAGAUGCUGGUUACCUGCGCCAGGACGGAAAGACCCCAUGGAGCUUUACUCCAGCUUGAUACUGGGAUUCGAUAUUGCAUGUACAGGAUAGGUGGGAGACUGAGAACUGAUGACGCCAGUUGUCAGGGAGUCACUGUUGGGAUACCACCCUUGUAGUAUUGGAUUUCUAACCAGCAGCCGUGAACCGGCUGGGGGACAAUGUCAGGUGGGGAGUUUGACUGGGGCGGUCGCCUCCGAAAGGGUAUCGGAGGCGCUCAAAGGUUCCCUCAGAAUGGUUGGAAACCAUUCGAAGAGUGCAAAGGCAGAAGGGAGCUUGACUGCGACACCGACGGGUGGAGCAGGUACGAAAGUAGGACUUAGUGAUCCGGUGGUAUAAAGUGGGAUUGCCAUCGCUCAACGGAUAAAAGCUACCCUGGGGAUAACAGGCUUAUCACUCCCAAGAGUUCACAUCGACGGAGUGGUUUGGCACCUCGAUGUCGGCUCAUCGCAUCCUGGGGCUGAAGUAGGUCCCAAGGGUUGGGCUGUUCGCCCAUUAAAGCGGUACGCGAGCUGGGUUCAGA